UACGUAGGUGGCAAGCGUUGUCCGGAUUUACUGGGCGUAAAGAGCGUGCAGGCGGUCGAUCAAGUCGCGUGUGAAAGCCCCCGGCUCAACUGGGGAGGGUCACGCGAUACUGAUCGACUCGAAGGCAGGAGAGGGUAGUGGAAUUCCCGGUGUAGUGGUGAAAUGCGUAGAUAUCGGGAGGAACACCAGUGGCGAAGGCGACUACCUGGCCUGUUCUUGACGCUGAGGCGCGAAAGCUAGGGGAGCAAACGGG
rnacentral:rRNA from 1 species